GAGUUUGAUCAUGGCUCAGGACGAACGCUGGCGGCGUGCCUAAUACAUGCAAGUAGAACGCUGAGGAGAGGAGCUUGCUCUUCUUGGAUGAGUUGCGAACGGGUGAGUAACGCGUAGGUAACCUGCCUUGUAGCGGGGGAUAACUAUUGGAAACGAUAGCUAAUACCGCAUAACAAUAGGUGACACAUGUCAUUUAUUUGAAAGGGGCAAUUGCUCCACUACAAGAUGGACCUGCGUUGUAUUAGCUAGUAGGUGAGGUAACGGCUCACCUAGGCGACGAUACAUAGCCGACCUGAGAGGGUGAUCGGCCAUACUGGGACUGAGACACGGCCCAGACUCCUACGGGAGGCAGCAGUAGGGAAUCUUCGGCAAUGGGGGCAACCCUGACCGAGCAACGCCGCGUGAGUGAAGAAGGUUUUCGGAUCGUAAAGCUCUGUUGUAAGUCAAGAACGAGUGUGAGAGUGGAAAGUUCACACUGUGACGGUAGCUUACCAGAAAGGGACGGCUAACUACGUGCCAGCAGCCGCGGUAAUACGUAGGUCCCGAGCGUUGUCCGGAUUUAUUGGGCGUAAAGCGAGCGCAGGCGGUUUGAUAAGUCUGAAGUUAAAGGCUGUGGCUCAACCAUAGUUCGCUUUGGAAACUGUCAAACUUGAGUGCAGAAGGGGAGAGUGGAAUUCCAUGUGUAGCGGUGAAAUGCGUAGAUAUAUGGAGGAACACCGGUGGCGAAAGCGGCUCUCUGGUCUGUAACUGACGCUGAGGCUCGAAAGCGUGGGGAGCGAACAGGAUUAGAUACCCUGGUAGUCCACGCCGUAAACGAUGAGUGCUAGGUGUUGGAUCCUUUCCGGGAUUCAGUGCCGCAGCUAACGCAUUAAGCACUCCGCCUGGGGAGUACGACCGCAAGGUUGAAACUCAAAGGAAUUGACGGGGGCCCGCACAAGCGGUGGAGCAUGUGGUUUAAUUCGAAGCAACGCGAAGAACCUUGCCAGGUCUUGACAUCCCGAUGCUAUUUCUAGAGAUAGAAAGUUACUUCGGUACAUCGGUGACAGGUGGUGCAUGGUUGUCGUCAGCUCGUGUCGUGAGAUGUUGGGUUAAGUCCCGCAACGAGCGCAACCCCUAUUGUUAGUUGCCAUCAUUCAGUUGGGCACUCUAGCGAGACUGCCGGUAAUAAACCGGAGGAAGGUGGGGAUGACGUCAAAUCAUCAUGCCCCUUAUGACCUGGGCUACACACGUGCUACAAUGGUUGGUACAACGAGUUGCGAGUCGGUGACGGCAAGCUAAUCUCUUAAAGCCAAUCUCAGUUCGGAUUGUAGGCUGCAACUCGCCUACAUGAAGUCGGAAUCGCUAGUAAUCGCGGAUCAGCACGCCGCGGUGAAUACGUUCCCGGGCCGUGCACACACCGCCCGUC
rnacentral:rRNA from 1 species